rnacentral:rRNA from 1 species
GAUGAACGCUGGCGGCGUGCCUAAUACAUGCAAGUAGAACGCUGAAGGAGGAGCUUGCUCUUCUGGAUGAGUUGCGAACGGGUGAGUAACGCGUAGGUAACCUGCCUGGUAGCGGGGGAUAACUAUUGGAAACGAUAGCUAAUACCGCAUGACAACAGUUAUUGCAUGAUAACUGUUUAAAAGGGGCAACUGCUCCACUACCAGAUGGACCUGCGUUGUAUUAGCUAGUUGGUGAGGUAACGGCUCACCAAGGCGACGAUACAUAGCCGACCUGAGAGGGUGAUAGGACACACUGGGACUGAGACACGGCCCAGACUCCUACGGGAGGCAGCAGUAGGGAAUCUUCGGCAAUGGACGGAAGUCUGACCGAGAAACGCCGCGUGAGUGAAGAAGGUUUUCGGAUCGUAAAGCUCUGUUGUAAGAGAAGAACGAGUGUGAGAGUGGAAAGUUCACACUGUGACGGUAUCUUACCAGAAAGGGACGGCUAACUACGUG